AACUUAAACUAAAUAGAUACCUACAGUUACAUUAGGCAAAUAUAGAGAAUACUCUCAUAAAUAUUUGCUAAAACAUACGUUGCUCGAAGUCAAAGCUUAUAAUAUAUAGAAUUUAUUUAUCAUAUAAAAUAUGGUUCUAGCUAAACUUUAAUUUCCUGCACGCUUGCAUUACUUAGCUUUAUUAACAAAUAUCGGUGUGCUUACUUGCUUGCAUCAAAGAGCCUGGCCAAAUUACCGACGGAAUGCAUACUGGAGAAUGUUUGCUCGACACACAUGUGAAAAGCUUCUAUAAACCCUUUGGCAAAAUAUUUUGUUCUGCUUUUAUUAACUCUUAUGGUUGAAAUAAUUGGACUAUGAAGAAACUAUAAAACAGUCAGCCGUGUCAAAGGACCCAGAUGUCAUCUAAAACAAGUUUUCCGAAAUUGUGAAUAAUAACUCCAAUUUCUCAAUUUUUUUCUGUACCAAGGAUACUCAAAAGAUACCCUGCCCCUCAUGAAGAAAAAAAAAACAGUUUUUUGUAUUUCAAAGUAGAAAUAAAUCGAAUACACCCCACACCUAUGCCACAACACUAGUGAAGCAAGGGAUUAAGAUCGAGACAAUGACUAAGUCGCUUUAGUUCGCGUCUCCACGAACUGCCUGAGCCACCUUCAAACUACGUUAGUUACACAGCACUAGUUUGGGCAUUCUUUAUUCUCUGUGUAUCCACGUCCUAGUGAUUGCCUUUGUCCAACGUGUCAGAACCACUCCGUACCUGCGACAUUCGUUACGCUUUAUUAUUCAAUGAAAUGGAGUUUUCUUAUGUCAACCUUCGGUUGGAGUGUUGUAUUCUGAUGUUAAUUUGGCUUUCCACGUAAUUCGCAAUGAAAAUACUCGCUGCUUUUAAAAUUUUGCUGUCGAUAACGUCUUGACAAUAUGUGUCGUAUCUGUUUUUGAUAAAUACGUGUAACCACACUGAUCACCUGUAUACGUACAACAAAGAUCAAAACAGAGAUGUUUUUCGCUAAUAGCUUCUUAUUAUUCUCACUCCUGAAGAUUUAUAGCUAUAACGUCAUGGUUCAGCAAAAUGAAGCUUUUCGAAAACUCCAGAAAAAUACAUUUUCAGCCGUAAUCUCUCAAGUUCGACCAAAGAAAGCUUUAACGGUGUAGAAUGGCGUAGGUAGAGAUUUCAAUGGACAUACCCACAUAAUGUAUGUAUUUGUAUGUAGUGAAGUGCCGUCAAUUCAGGCUAAAAAAGGUCAAUGGCUACUUGAGUACGUACUCAGUUCGAGAGCUGAACCGUUUCCGUUUAUCGAUUAAAUUUUACACAAACCCUUUAAAGUCACUCAUUUUAUCUGGAACGAGAUGUUAUAAAAUUCGUUGACUUUCCGCUUAAAUAAAUAAUGUCAGUUAUAAAAGAAUUUCCAUCAAAAAUCUGAAUUCAGAAUUGAAAGUUACAAAAAUGAUUUCCUUUAAAAAUAAAUGAACUGUUAUAUUUUAAAUGGUACUUGAUAUGAAAGAAACGCUAUACUCACAACGAACAACCAAUACAAAGUAUAGAAAUUAAUCAACUCACUAUGUAGAUUCACGAUGUUUUUCUGAGAGCUAAUCGGACCGAUCUUAAUACUUCGUGGGGCGACUCGGCAAAACCGUUUUCAGGUAAUUAUUUGACGGCAAUUCGCUUUUAAAGGGCUAUUAAUCUUGUUGCCGCCGUAGUUGCGUAGUGUUAAUAACGUUAGCAAUUCUGUUUACAUUGCAUUAUAAAAUGAGUUUCAAUUCGGGGAUAGAAGAAGAGAUAAAUAGGUACCUAUUAUGAAAUAUACAUACUCUUGCAUAUAUGUAUGGUUAAAGAAGCUUAAACCUUCGUUUUUAUUAGAUAUUUUUGUGUUGGUAAAUCACCUUCUAUUUGGAGACACGAGAAUAAAUUAAAACAUUCAGUGAGCAAGCGGUGCGAUCAAUCUUCUGUCUCGGAAGAGCUCGGAGCUUGGUAAUAUGAACGCAGACAUGUUUUUAUUUAAAUUUCAUAAUGUUAUAUUUAGAUAAAGAUUCAUGUACAUACAUAAAUGAACGAAUUGUGUAAGGACAUGACAUGACAUGGUUAAGAUAGAGGUUCAUUAAGACUACAUAACAUCGAAAGAUGGAAAAAAAGUAAAAGCCACGCUAAUCCCAAAUUAUUUGGACAAAAGAAGGCAUCAUGUAAUUGCUAACUUUUCCAACAAAGCUAAUACUUAAGUGUAAUAAGUACCUAUCAAAACUUAGUCCUCCAGGUUUUCAUGAUAUGAAAUAUAGUAUCGCGUUUCAAAGCAGCGGGUGCACAAGUUAGCGCAAAUCUCUUACAACCGCAUUAAGCAUGCCAAUCAUAAUUUGAAAUAGUAAAGUGCAGUAUGUCGUCAUUUGUUUAAAAUGCUCCUGAACGUGGAGCAAAUAUUUUGAAUGAUGUAGGUGUAGCCUGAGGGACAAGGUAGCGUCCUCGUAACGACGAGGUGGCACACAAUGUUCUUUUGUGUUGACUCUUCCUGCAUUCUGUAUGCGCGCAUCUGCCAUUUCAUUUGUAUAAUAAUAUUGCACGCCCGUUCUGUUGUUUUUUUAAUUGACGUUACGUUACUUGUGAAUCUACAAUUCCGUAGAAAUAUUUUUUACUGAAUUUUCGGUCGUAUUGUGUAAAUACUGGCUGAAAAGAUUUUAUAAUAUUCAACUUCAUCGUAAAUGUGCAAAAAUAGUCUCUUCUCGCUGAUCAGGUAUACUACCUACAUGUUUAGCUACUUACAAAGUAUUAAGAUUCAGUAAUAAUCGACGAAACUCCAAACAUUCUGUUUUCAACACUUUAAGUUGAUUUAACAAGUACAAAAUACACAAUAGGAUCAAACUUGACCCAAUAAUAAGCCCUAGACUCGUGUCUUGAACCACUUACACAGCACUUACUGAAUAUUCAUUACAGCAAACUUUAAAGUUUACAUACAAAGUGAUGCCUUGAAAAAUUUCACGCUAUGCAACUGAGAUUAUCUGUGUUUACUGAAAUAAGUCGCGGUUGUCAAGUAAUCGUACAUAUAUAAGGUUCGUGAGGAAACUUUUUAGGACAGUUGUGAGCAAGUAUGGCGAUAAUGUGCAUUAAAGUGUUUCUUGUGGUGCUGUUUUUAUUUGGUGUUGGUUAUUGUCAAGAGAAUGCUACCAACGCCACUGCAGCGCCAAAUCCUACUACCGCAUCUGCAUCAGCAACAGUAACCACUUCUCUAUCGCCAGUGUCUUCAGCUACAUUAUCAGCAUUCCAAAACUUCAACGCAAUGGUGGUUUCAAUCCCCUUGGGCAUCGUACAGGCAUUAAAAUAUGGAGCGAAAACUAUGGACAGUGUCGUCAGAGCAUUUUUCGCUCAUAAAAAGUUUUAUUAAAAAAGAUUUUUGGCAAA
rnacentral:lncRNA from 1 species